CCGGGAAUGAAUAACAGGUCUCCUGGACCCCAGGGCUCUGUCCAGGAAGCUUCUGUGAAGGUACAAGCAAGGAAAGGAAUGGACCCUUUCUGCUAUGCCCUGGUCAGGAAACCUAGAUUCCUGGGACUGAGUUGCUAUGGACUUCUGGAAAUCGCUUCCUGUCUCUAAGUGUGGAUCUCCCUCUGCACAGUGGGUAACUGUAGGGGGAUGGGGAGAUCAUCUUUAUGGGUAUCGGCUGCUCUAAACUUCAGUGAUGAUGAGGUUGGAAACUGUCAAGUGCUGUGUGAUUCUAUGUGAGGAGUUUUGGCUCUUCUCCUCUUCCUGUUAAAACCCAGCUCAGGCAUGAGCCACUGUGCCCAGCCUAAGACCUCAUCUCUAAUUAGAUUUUUAAAAAAUAAUUAAAA
rnacentral:lncRNA from 10 species